rnacentral:rRNA from 1 species
UACGAAGGUGGCAAGCGUUGUUCGGAAUCACUGGGCUUAAAGCGCAUGUAGGCGGCCUUGUAAGCACCUUGUGAAAUCCCUCGGCUCAACCGAGGAAUUGCUGGGUGUACUGCAAGGCUUGAGGCAGGUAGGGGUGCGUGGAACUCUUGGUGGAGCGGUGAAAUGCGUAGAUAUCAAGAGGAACGCCGGCGGCGAAAGCGGCGCACUGGGCCUGUCCUGACGCUGAGAUGCGAAAGCUAGGGGAGCAAACGGG